rnacentral:lncRNA from 1 species
GCUCUCGUCCUCACAGUAGCCAGAGGAUCCCAUGAGACAUACGUCACUUCCUGCCUGCCAUGCUCAGAACCCUGCUGCGGCUUCUUUCCACUCUCCAUGAAAGCUGGGGUCCUCGGAGUGACCCCAGGACCCUGGAGCUUAUCAACGCUGUCCAGUAGAAACACGAAGAGUCACACAGGGGUACCAUGUAUGCAGUUCAACAUUUUUCUGCUAAAUUUAAAGGGAAAAGGAAAUACGUGCAAUUAAUUUUAUUACCUGAACCCAGGACGUCAGAAUUAUCUUCAUUUCUGACGUAUAUUCCGUGGGGUUUUGGUAGUGAGUCACCCCCGUAGCACAGCCCAGUUUGGAUCGGCCACGUUUCAUGGGCUCCAUGGCCUCGUGUGCCUGGUGGCCGCCGUGUUGAAAUGAACGGCAGGCCUGUGGAUUCUGUGGCCCCCGGGGGCCUCUGUGUCCUUCCCUUCUUCCACUUUGCUCUGGUUUCCUUGCUGUUCCUCAAGUAAACUAGGCAGUUCCUGUAUCAGAGUCUUCACACCUCCUGUUCCCUCCGCUUGGACUGCGUUUCCCAGCUGGCCCUGACCAGACUCUCAAGUGCUACCUUCCCAGUGCCCCACCCCCCCUGCGCACUUGGUUGCAUUUCCUGCGUCUCUUCCCUGCCCUGUUUUCGUCCGUCUGUAGCACUGUCAGCACUUCGCAUGCUCUAGAGCUCUCUCACUUCCUGUGUUGUCCAUCUCCCCCCACUGGAUGGAAUGUGAGCUCCGUGAGCGCCGCCGGGGCUUUGUCCGUUUCGUUCCCUGCCCUAUUUCCGGAGCAUGGAACAGUGCCUGGCAUGUAGGAGAGAGAGAUGGAUAGAUGUUGAGGAAUUAGAUGAAAUGCAUUAAUAAGGAUGAUUCUUAGUAAGAAGCAUGCAGUUGAAUACACUUUGUGGUUGCAGAAUAUCUUGGUGUCAUAUUUUGCAACAUGGUGGUUGGAAGGUCUGGUCCAAGUCACUGUAUUUUGAAAGAGUCCUUUCUAGGAAGAUGUUAUCCUGGGGUCAGCUGAUCAUUUAAAUGGAUUUUAGACCCCUGAAACCCUGCCCUGUACUCCACUGAGAGAUUUAAAAACAAGCUUGGAUGUGCGGCUUUCCGUGUGUACGUAGGUAGAAGGGUUUCGAGACUGCAUCUUCCUGUUGAAUUGGGUAACGUCAUCCUGUCAUAUGGUGAAAAUGAUUUCCCAACGCUGGUGUUUGAAAUGCUCUUUCUGUGACAUAAGUCUCUCAAAAAGUAGAGGCUUUCUUACCCAUUUUUAAAAUUGUCACCUUAACCCGAAAGGGACAGAUUAAUUAUUUAUUUGUUGGAAAAAUAGUCAUUAAUUGUCAUUCUCUUAUUGUAGAAGAGGUCAGCAGCUUUUGGUUUUCUGGUUUAAAAAGAAGUAUAACCUCCGUUUAAGUUGAGCCACUCUUUCCACCCUGAGAGCAUCAGGGGCAGUGUGUCCCGUGCGUUGCGGGUCUCCCUGUCUCAUUACAGAGGACUGCCGGUUAGUGAAUUGAGGAGGGUAUCCCGGGCUUGCUUAAACGGAUGCGCAUAAACUGUGCUCAGGACGCAGACCGCUGGGCUGCCCCGUCCGUCUUUUGGUGUUUGCAUUAACCUCGCUGCCUUGAGCAGCCAUCAGAGGGUUGGGUCUUCUCAUCGUUGUUGCUCAUGAUCUGAAAUGGCGCUGGCUCCCACCAGUGUUGGUUGACUGAAUAGUAUUGGGGAAUGGAUUCAUUUGGUGACCCCAACACCAUAAGAUUGUAUUUAUUGGACAUCACAGUCCGUAAGCCAGGUUUCUUUUCUUCUUUGGUGGCUUUAGAGCCAUUUCUCUCUUCUCUCCUUUUUUUGGCCUCUGCAUGCGGAAGUUCGUAGCCCAGGGAUUGAACCUGUGCCACAGAAGUGGCAAUGCUGGAUCCUUAACCUGCUGAGCCACCAGGGAACUCCAAGAGGCAGUUCUUUAGCAAGCCUUGAUGCCUUCUUCUGCAUCUGACAGGCGGUGAAGGUGGUAGCCUCUCGCACCAGAGCAUGCUGGGAGUUGGGAGGUGGAUGGUUGUGAUCAGAAGCUGAUCUGGAGGUGAGCGUGGAUGGCAGGGGUUGCUGGACGAGGUAGCCAGCACCAUCUUAAAGGGACAGGAGGGAUGUCUUUGAAGCCCUGUGCCAUGUCUUCCCUCAGCUCUCCUCCAUGUGGAAAAUGCUUGUUGAAAUACAUUUUCCGUCCAUUUUGACAGUCCAGAACGUAUGUCAGCUGGAUAGGUGCCCUGGGUGGUGUUUUUCCAGCUGCCGUGACCAAAAGCGCCAUCGGAAACAUGAGCAGCUGGGCUGUGCGCUGAAGCUCUGGUCGGGGACAGAGGCCCUGGGUACUUUCUGCUGCAGCAGAAACCGUCUCCCACACGCCCUGGACCUGGCAUCGCUGAGCAAGGCUUGUCCACAGCGGCCCACAGACCAGCCAGCCACUAGCCAGCCCAUCAUCAUCUGUUCGUGACGCACGUUUGAACAGGGCCUCUGGUGGGAAAGGCUCCAUGUUUCUGGAUGGCGUGGCCGGGCCUGCAGAGGAAGGUCUGUGGCAGCGUGAGUGCGACCUGGCUUCUGUCCCCAGGGAGCUCAGGGCUGGUGAGGGAGAUGGACGUCCAUGCCGAAUACAAGGCAACGACGUGCAGACGGGAUGCAGACGGAGCCCAAGAAACUGCCGUAUUAGCCAGGAGCAAUUGGAGGGUAUCUCUCAGAACACGAGGAAGGGGAACUCAUCCGUCCUGCUCGUGGCUGACUCGGAGCCUAGCACAGGACUGCAUCCGUAUCAGGCGCUCAGCAAAUAUGUAUUUGUUAAUGGCCAGGCGGAGUUCCCAUUAUGGCUCCGUGGUUAGGAACCCGACUAGGAUGCAUGAGGAUGCAGGUUUGAUCCCUGGCCUCACUCAGUGGGUUGAGGAUCCAGCAUUGCCGCAGGCUGACGUGUAGGUCACAGAUGCAGCUUAGAUCUGGUGUUGGCUUGGCUGUGGCGUAGGCCUCAGCUGCAGCUCCGAUCCAACCCCUGGCCUGGGAACUUCCCUGUGCUGCAGGCGUGGUCCUAAAAAGAAAAAAAAUAUGUAUUUGGGUUUGGCAGGAGUGGGGCUUCACCACCAGGGACAGAGGAGAAAACGUCUGUUGCAAAGAGGUGGUCUGUGUGCCCUGGACCACCAAAAUCACACAGGGGGUCUGUGUGUGGCAGGAGAGGGGCUGCGUACUGCAAAGGGCGGGCAGCCUCGGAGCGGGGGCGGGGGGACCACUUCUAGGACGCUGAUUUUGGUGGUUCUGAACCUCUUUUUGCUCCAGUUCUCAUUAGGAAUUGCAUGGAAACGAUACCCUCUUUCUUGAGGAAAGACACAAUCACAGCAGCACGUGGUUGGACAUAGAUCCCAUCGGAAGACUCGCAGGUCGCAGGUUCUGAAACCCUGCUGCUGGCUGGGGAGCCAUCAGUGCAUAUUGAGCUCUUUAAAUGGGGAGAAGACACUUUUUAUUUUUUCCUGGAGUCUUUGGGGAUUGACUCAGAUCAGUGUGUACUCUGUGGGUAUUCUGGGUUUUAGGAGUACUAAGUAACAGGCUUGGGGAAGCCGUGGAGACCUGGGGGGGAAGCCGUGGAGAACUGCCCCCCCCCCGGUGCAUGUGGAAAGAGCGAGUGUUGGCUCUCUUGAGCAGGAGGUGAAAAGUUACCUGAGAAAAGUUAGAAAAAAAAUUAACUUAAAAAAUUCACUAAUUCAAAAUAGGGAACGCUUAUGCUAAUUUUUUUUCUGUGGCAUGGUUUCUAGCUCAGAUAGCCGGCCAAGAAGUAGUUACAGACAGAGAGAGGCAGUGUGUUGCAUUUCUGGGAACACUGAGUAAUUAUUGCCUUUGGAAUGGUUAAGCAAAAUAAAAUGAAAUAAAAUAAGAUAUAACAAAAUAAAAAGCUAGCAAACUGCUUU